rnacentral:sRNA from 1 species
AUGAAAGGAGAAGUAGAAGAAGAGGAAGAAGAAGAAGAAGAAGAGGGAUCGGUGGAAGAUGAGCAAUAGUCGCCGGAG